rnacentral:rRNA from 1 species
UACGAGAGGCCCAAACGUUAUUCGGAUUUACUGGGCUUAAAGAGUUCGUAGGCGGCGCGGAAAGUAGGGUGUGAAAGCCCUCGGCUCAACCGAGGAAUUGCGCUCUAAACUGCCGCGCUCGAGGAACCUAGAGGUGAGCAGAACUGAUGGUGGAGCGGUGAAAUGCGUUGAUAUCAUCAGGAAUACCGGAGGCGAAGGCGGCUCACUGGGGGGUUAUCUGACGCUGAGAAGCGAAAGCAUGGGGAGCGAACAGG